GGUUAAUACCCUGUGUAGAUGACGGUACCCGAAUAAGAAGCACCGGCUAACUACGUGCCAGCAGCCGCGGUAAUACGUAGGGUGCGAGCGUUAAUCGGAAUUACUGGGCGUAAAGCGUGCGCAGGCGGUUUUGUAAGUCAGAUGUGAAAUCCCCGGGCUCAACCUGGGAACUGCAUUUGAGACUGCAAGACUGGAGUUUGGCAGAGGGGGGUGGAAUUCCACGUGUAGCAGUGAAAUGCGUAGAGAUGUGGAGGAACACCGAUGGCGAAGGCAGCCCCCUGGGCCAAUACUGACGCUCAUGCACGAAAGCGUGGGGAGCAAACAGGAUUAGAUACCCUGGUAGUCCACGCCCUAAACGAUGUCAACUAGGUGUUGGGAGGGUUAAACCUUUUAGUGCCGUAGCUAACA
rnacentral:rRNA from 1 species